rnacentral:rRNA from 1 species
CGAAGUCAAGAGGAGCUUGCUCUUUUUGACUUAGUGGCGAACGGGUGAGUAACGCGUGAGGAACCUGCCUCAAAGAGGGGGACAACAGUUGGAAACGACUGCUAAUACCGCAUAAGACCACAGAGCCGCAUGGCUCAGGGGUCAAAGGAGAAAUCCGCUGAAGGAUGGCCUCGCGUCCGAUUAGCUAGAUGGCGGGGUAACGGCCCACCAUGGCGACGAUCGGUAGCCGGACUGAGAGGUUGAACGGCCACAUUGGGACUGAGACACGGCCCAGACUCCUACGGGAGGCAGCAGUGGGGAAUAUUGCACAAUGGGGGAAACCCUGAUGCAGCGACGCCGCGUGGAGGAAGAAGGUCUUCGGAUUGUAAACUCCUGUUGUUGGGGAAGAUAAUGACGGUACCCAACAAGGAAGUGACGGCUAACUACGUGCCAGCAGCCGCGGUAAAACGUAGGUCACAAGCGUUGUCCGG